AGAGUUUGAUCCUGGCUCAGGACGAACGCUGGCGGCACGCUUAACACAUGCAAGUCGAACGAGAGAAGAGGAGCUUGCUUUUCUGAUCUAGUGGCGGACGGGUGAGUAACACGUGAGCAAUCUGCCUUUCAGAGGGGGAUACCGAUUGGAAACGAUCGUUAAUACCGCAUAACAUAAUUGAACCGCAUGAUUUGAUUAUCAAAGAUUUAUCGCUGAAAGAUGAGCUCGCGUCUGAUUAGCUAGUUGGUAAGGUAACGGCUUACCAAGGCGACGAUCAGUAGCCGGACUGAGAGGUUGAUCGGCCACAUUGGGACUGAGACACGGCCCAGACUCCUACGGGAGGCAGCAGUGGGGAAUAUUGCACAAUGGAGGAAACUCUGAUGCAGCGAUGCCGCGUGAGGGAAGAAGGUUUUAGGAUUGUAAACCUCUGUCUUCAGGGACGAAAAAAGACGGUACCUGAGGAGGAAGCUCCGGCUAACUACGUGCCAGCAGCCGCGGUAAUACGUAGGGAGCGAGCGUUGUCCGGAAUUACUGGGUGUAAAGGGAGCGUAGGCGGGAUCGCAAGUCAGAUGUGAAAACUAUGGGCUUAACCCAUAAACUGCAUUUGAAACUGUGGUUCUUGAGUGAAGUAGAGGUAAGCGGAAUUCCUAGUGUAGCGGUGAAAUGCGUAGAUAUUAGGAGGAACAUCAGUGGCGAAGGCGGCUUACUGGGCUUUAACUGACGCUGAGGCUCGAAAGCGUGGGGAGCAAACAGGACUAGAUACCCUGGUAGUCCACGCCGUAAACGAUGAUUACUAGGUGUGGGGGGACUGACCCCUUCCGUGCCGCAGCAAACGCAAUAAGUAAUCCACCUGGGGAGUACGACCGCAAGGUUGAAACUCAAAGGAAUUGACGGGGGCCCGCACAAGCAGUGGAGUAUGUGGAUUAACUCGAAGCAACGCGAAGAACCUUACCAGGUCUUGACAUCGUAUGCAUAGCUCAGAGAUGAGUGAAAUCUCUUCGGAGACAUAUAGACAGGUGGUGCAUGGUUGUCGUCAGCUCGUGUCGUGAGAUGUUGGGUUAAGUCCCGCAACGAGCGCAACCCUUACUGUUAGUUGCUACGCAAGAGCACUCUAGCAGGACUGCCGUUGACAAAACGGAGGAAGGUGGGGAUGACGUCAAAUCAUCAUGCCCCUUAUGACCUGGGCCUCACACGUACUACAAUGGCUGUCAACAGAGGGAAGCAAAGCCGCGAGGUGGAGCGAACCCCUAAAAGCAGUCUUAGUUCGGAUUGUAGGCUGCAACCCGCCUACAUGAAGUCGGAAUUGCUAGUAAUCGCAGAUCAGCAUGCUGCGGUGAAUACGUUCCCGGGCCUUGUACACACCGCCCGUCACGCCAUGGGAGUCGGUAACACCCGAAGCCUGUAGUCUAACCGCAAGGAGGACGCAGUCGAAGGUGGGAUUGAUGACUGGGGUGAAGUCGUAACAAGGUA
rnacentral:rRNA from 1 species